GCCGAUGUGGCGGAAUAGGCAGACGCACCGCACUCAAAAUGCGACGAACGAACGUUCGUACCAGUUCGACUCUGGUCAUCGGCACCA
rnacentral:tRNA from 1 species